UAUGACUCUCUUAAGGUAGCCAA
rnacentral:ncRNA from 4 species